rnacentral:lncRNA from 1 species
CAAUAUAAAGUCCUGGUUCACUCUCAGGAACGAGAGCUGACCCAGUUAAGGGAGAAGUUACGGGAAGGGAGAGAUGCCUCCUGCUCAUUGAAUCAGCAUCUCCAGGCCCUCCUCACUCCGGAUGAGCCAGACAAGUCCCAGGGGCAGGACCUCCAAGAACAGCUGGCUGAGGGGUGUAGACUGGCACAGCACCUUGUCCAAAAGCUCAGCCCAGAAAAUGACAACGAUGACGAUGAAGAUGUUCAAGUUGAGGUGGCUGAGAAAGUGCAGAAAUCGUCUGCCCCCAGGGAGAUGCCGAAGGCUGAAGAAAAGGAAGUCCCUGAGGACUCACUGGAGGAAUGUGCCAUCACUUGUUCAAAUAGCCAUGGCCCUUAUGACUCCAACCAGCCACAUAGGAAAACCAAAAUCACAUUUGAGGAAGACAAAGUCGACUCAACUCUCAUUGGCUCAUCCUCUCAUGUUGAAUGGGAGGAUGCUGUACACAUUAUCCCAGAAAAUGAAAGUGAUGAUGAGGAAGAGGAAGAAAAAGGGCCAGUGUCUCCCAGGAAUCUGCAGGAGUCUGAAGAGGAGGAAGUCCCCCAGGAGUCCUGGGAUGAAGGUUAUUCGACUCUCUCAAUUCCUCCUGAAAUGUUGGCCUCGUACAAGUCUUACAGCGGCACAUUUCACUCAUUAGAGGAACAGCAAGUCUGCAUGG